CCAGGGUGGACACGAGUGGGUAAAGCUGGAUUGUAUCUUCAAGAUGAUGUCACCUUCCUCUUGUCUCCACCCGGGGCUCCGCCCAGGUCCCUCCCCUCUUGGCCUGAGCUAACAGGCAGAGGUGGAGAGGGUCAGUCCCCAUCGACAGAAGCAAAGAGAUCGUCCUGGGGCGGUUUGCUUGCUGAUGGCCCAAGGUCCGCGACCCAGGUUCAUUUGAGUCUCUAUCAGAGGGCAAGCUCAAGCUGUUCCAUUUUGGGACCAGGGCACAGAGCUCACUUAAUGCUGCGCUCCCACUGAUGACGCCCACCCAUUCUCUGCCUGCAAGCCCUACCACUCACAACUUCAAAAAUGGCUCCGCCCUUCCUGAUUCCACCCCACACAGAGGAAAGCAACUUCUUGCAAUGCUUCCUUAUUCUGGAUGUGGCUCACCUCUUACCCCUUCCAGCUCCUUUGGGUCCCCUAGAAAGCCUCCCUGGCUAAGGGGGACAGGCCCUCUCAGCACUGGGCACUGACCGUCUAACCAGGGCUCUCUCUCGGCACCUGGUAGCAAGGAUGGCAAGAUACAACAACAUGCUGAUUUUAAUAGCCUCUGGCUUCUCCACUUCGUUUCUCACCUGAAUGCCCCGCACAACAAAUCUUCCAUGGGGUCACCUUUGACCUCUAGGGCAAUUCCCAAGAAUCUAGCAGAGGAGUGGGGUAAAUCAAAAGACUGACAUGAAGGACUCAAGGGAAACCUCUGGAAAGAAGAGACCAGACACUAAAAGGGAUGUGUGUGAAAUACUGGUUUUUAUUGGUUGGCACAAGAUUACAGCCUACAAUUUCAAUGCCCUUCCCUCCCACACAGCUCAAAUGGAAGGAAACUGAUUAACACACAGAAAGGAACGGCAGGCUCACAGGUUUAAGCAUUUGUUUUUACAAAAAGGAGUGGGAUAUGGGAGUGGUCAAGUUUUAUGGGUAGUAACAACAUUCUCUCUAGAUGGCAGGGGGUAAGUCUGCCUGUCCUCCAUUGCUGGUACCACAUAAGGGACACAUUAGUAAAGUAGGGAAAGGGUUGUAUGUGUGGCUGGCCUGUUCUUAAGAAAGGAAGGUGGGAUGGUAUCUGCGGUGUACCUGUCUCAGACCAAACCUGGGGCUGGACCAGUGCCCCUUUCCUCUCAGCCCUCCUCCACAACCUGACUGUACUGCCAGCCGCAUCCAUGGGAAGGAGGUGUGAAGGAAGCCUGAGGACAUCCGCCUCAAGAAAAGGAAACAGGAAAACUAUUUCCUCCCGCCUUCUCUGGACCAAAUUUCACUCCCCUCAGCUCCAGAAAGCGCUGCAAAAAUCUUCCUUAGGGACGCUGUGAAGACACGGGGAAGAGGCCAGCCCAGAAAGGUAGUCCUGAGCAGGCAAGAAGAAAUGCUUGAACUUUCCAUGCAGUACCAAGCAAGGCUGUUUUGGAAACAAGCAAACAAACAAAAAAUGGAAACCAACACCAUAUACCCACAGGUUGGGUAGCUCCUAAAUCCUGGACAGCAUUUGGAUUGGGGGUAAGGGCAAUUUUACUCCAGCUCCUUGUUUUAUAACCCACGCAAGGUGCCAAGAGGUUUAAGGACCACAACUGACCUCUCUUUCCCUACAAGCACCAUUCCUUGGAUUCCCAGUUUUGUUGAGCUCAUUUGAGGUCGUCCUUGCCAUCCUCUUAAAAAAUGACACAGCCUCUUGGUUGUUCCAUUUUCUAUCCCUUUUAUGAACACACUCUCUAAACAGGAGAUCUAUAUAUGCUCUCAUCUUGCAGCCCAAGAGAUUAGGUGACCUAAUGAUGAGACAGCUAACUUAUUUGCUUUCCUGGGUGGUCCUGAUGGAAAUGAACAGCAGCAGAGUUCUGGUGGGAUACAGCAGUCUAGUCUGAGCCACUGUGUGAUUCCCCAGGGGACUGGUCCCUGGGUACAUGGGUCCCUGGCUCUCUGUCUCAGUUCCAGAAACAUUACUCAACUUGGCCAUUUAAGCCUCAGCUAAAACAUAUGAGCAUGAGGGAAAAGGGACAAGAAAUACUUUUGUCCUCUAGAAAAACCUAACUCAAUACAUCUUGGCUACUUUGCCUCAACCCACAGGGUUCCCUGGAAACAUUUGUUGAACUUGGCCAAGAGGAGAUUGUAUAUGGAUGGCACACCUGGAAAAGGGGAGAAAGCACACUAGUUCAUCUCUUUUAUAAGUAGAAUGGUCCCAGGGAUGUUAACCUUUCUGAUGCUGAUGGUAGAUGAGUGGAGUGGAGGUAAUCAUGUGAGAAAACUCCUUAAAAAUCCUUAAGCUGUUUGGAGACUACACACCACAGUGGAGCAAACCAAGGUGGGGCCUCGCUGCCUCCUCAGAGCCCAUCCCUGACCAUGUCAUUGGAUAGGAUGGAAGACAAAGUCUUCAAAAUGGAGGCUGGGCUGGCAAACAUAAGUAUGAAGACGCUACUACUGGCCUUCCACUUCCUCUCUCUGAUACACCUAAGAAGGCGAGAGACACUUGCUUCAAUUCCAUUUUACAACAGUUCUCAACAUCCUGAAAUACUCUUGACUUCCUUAAGCACAUAGAAGACUGGUAAGCUAUAUCUUUCUAACUGAAAUUUUACUUAUUCUAACCACCAACCUUUUCUUUAUCAACCAGUUUGACAGUCUUCAGAUCACAAAACAAUAGAACAGACCUGACAUUUACAAAACUGUACUACAUACUUAUUUCUUUUACAGUAGAGUUGACCAAUUACUUUUCUAACUACUAAUGCAACACCAUACCACUUGUCCCUGGACUCUGAUGUUUCUGAUCCCUGAGCAACACAUCUACGUCCAUUCACAGAUGGAAGUUAAAGAGUGAGAUUCUCAGAGGCUAAACAACAUUCUGGUAGCAAAUUGGAUUUUUGAAGGGAGAGUCUCCUUAGAAAACUCUGAGCAAAAAUGUUCUCAGUCACGAGGGACGGGGUGGGCGGGCAGGUUUCUGUCUGUGAGCUAUAGCUCCCUUCUGAACUCCUUCAUGUUCUUGGGAGGACACAAGCCUCUUGCUCAUUAAGCAAAGGCCCUCCAAGUCUCCUUUUUACUUCAGCACUUUGGAAACUCUCCAAGACUUAACUUCAGAUCUGGGGAGGUUCUACGUGGAGCAGACCUAUCCCUUCUUAUUCCUGUUCCUGGGUGUCCCCAUAAUCAGCCUCUACCUUCCCUGGCAUAAGUCGUAUCUGUUAUGCUGCAGGAACGGAGUAGCCAAAGCUAGGUAUCCCUUGGACCACUGAUUAGUGACACAUUUUCUCCACAACAAAGGGAGGUUAAAGACCAAGGUUUAACCUGAGAAACUUUUUUUUUGGCAAGACAAGAGGUUAAAGGGGCUACGUGGAUCUGUCACUGCUUUAGCUUACCAUUUUCAAUUCAGCACCAAAGUGCUCAGGAAGACAGGCUCAGAUCAGAACGACUUCUUAAAGGGAUUCACA